GUGCUUAACACAUGCAAGUCGAACGAUGAAGCCCUUCGGGGUGGAUUAGUGGCGAACGGGUGAGUAACACGUGGGCAAUCUGCCCUGCACUCUGGGACAAGCCCUGGAAACGGGGUCUAAUACCGGAUAAUACCCUCGCAGGCAUCUGUGAGGGUUAAAAGCUCCGGCGGUGCAGGAUGAGCCCGCGGCCUAUCAGCUUGUUGGUGAGGUAAUGGCUCACCAAGGCGACGACGGGUAGCCGGCCUGAGAGGGCGACCGGCCACACUGGGACUGAGACACGGCCCAGACUCCUACGGGAGGCAGCAGUGGGGAAUAUUGCACAAUGGGCGAAAGCCUGAUGCAGCGACGCCGCGUGAGGGAUGACGGCCUUCGGGUUGUAAACCUCUUUCAGCAGGGAAGAAGCGAAAGUGACGGUACCUGCAGAAGAAGCGCCGGCUAACUACGUGCCAGCAGCCGCGGUAAUACGUAGGGCGCAAGCGUUGUCCGGAAUUAUUGGGCGUAAAGAGCUCGUAGGCGGCUUGUCACGUCGAUUGUGAAAGCCCGAGGCUUAACCUCGGGUCUGCAGUCGAUACGGGCUAGCUAGAGUGUGGUAGGGGAGAUCGGAAUUCCUGGUGUAGCGGUGAAAUGCGCAGAUAUCAGGAGGAACACCGGUGGCGAAGGCGGAUCUCUGGGCCAUUACUGACGCUGAGGAGCGAAAGCGUGGGGAGCGAACAGGAUUAGAUACCCU
rnacentral:rRNA from 1 species